AUCAACGAGAAUACUCUUUCAGAAACACCCAUGUAUAUUUACUGAACACAAUCGAAAUAAGAAGUAUCGAAAAUAAAAAGGUAAAUCAACUUGGAGCAAAAAAAAAAAAGACAAACCAAGAAACCUAAAAUUAUUGACUCCCAUGAAGUGCCCAAUUUGAUUUAUAACAAAAAAAAAGACAACUCAAUUCGAAAACCCUAACCAUGAAUUGCGGAUUCUAUGAAAAAAUCAUAUCCUGUUCUCAUGUGAUAGGGCCGGAGUAGCAGACUAAUCUAGAUUUCAAUUGAAAAAUUGCGAAAAAAAUUCACCAAAAC
rnacentral:lncRNA from 1 species